UACGGGGGGGAGCAAGCGUUGUUCGGAUUUACUGGGCGUAAAGGGCGCGUAGGCGGCCACCGCAAGUCGACUGUGAAAUCUCCGGGCUUAACUCGGAAAGGUCAGCCGAUACUGCGGGGCUAGAGUGCAGAAGGGGCAACUGGAAUUCUCGGUGUAGCGGUGAAGUGCGUAGAUAUCGAGAGGAACACCUGCGGCGAAGGCGGGUUGCUGGGCUGACACUGACGCUGAAGCGCGAAAGCUAGGGGAGCGAACGGG
rnacentral:rRNA from 1 species